GUAGGUGGCAAGCGUUGUCCGGAAUUAUUGGGCGUAAAGCGCGCGCAGGCGGUCCUUUAAGUCUGAUGUGAAAGCCCACGGCUCAACCGUGGAGGGUCAUUGGAAACUGGGGGACUUGAGUACAGAAGAGGAAAACGGAAUUCCAAGUGUAGCGGUGAAAUGCGUAGAGAUUUGGAGGAACACCAGUGGCGAAGGCGGCUUUCUGGUCUGUAACUGACGCUGAGGCGCGAAAGCGUGGGGAGCAAACAGGAUUAGAUACCCUGGUAGUCCACGCCGUAAACGAUGAGUGCUAAGUGUUAGGGGGUUUCCCGCCCCCCUUAGUGCUGCAGCUAACGCAUUAAGCACUCCGCCUGGGGGAGUACGGCCGCAAGGCUG
rnacentral:rRNA from 1 species